GUGUCAGCAGCCGCGGUAAUACGUAGGGGGCAAGCGUUGUCCGGAAUUAUUGGGCGUAAAGAGCGCGUAGGCGGUCCGAUAAGUCGGCUGUGAAAGUCAUGGGCUCAACCCAUGAAAGCCGGCCGAUACUGUCGGACUAGAGUUCGGAAGAGGCAAGUGGAAUUCCCGGUGUAGCGGUGAAAUGCGCAGAUAUCGGGAGGAACACCAAUUGCGAAGGCAGCUUGCUGGGACGAUACUGACGCUGAGGCGCGAAAGCGUGGGGAGCAAACAGGAUUAGAUACCCCAGUAGUCC
rnacentral:rRNA from 1 species